UACGGAGGAUCCGAGCGUCAUCCGGAUUUAUUGGGUUUAAAGGGUGCGUAGGCGGCCUGUUAAGUCAGGGGUGAAAGACGGUAGCUCAACUAUCGCAGUGCCCUUGAUACUGAUGGGCUUGAAUGUACUAGAGGUAGGCGGAAUGUGACAAGUAGCGGUGAAAUGCAUAGGUAUGUCACAGAACACCAAUUGCGAAGGCAGCUUACUAUGGUAUUAUUGACGCUGAGGCACGAAAGCGUGGGGAUCAAACAGG
rnacentral:rRNA from 1 species